AAUAUUGGACAAUGGGCGCAAGCCUGAUUCAGCCAUGCCGCGUGAGUGAAAAAGGCCUUCGCGUUGUAAAGCUCUUUCGGACGGAAAGAAAUCGUGCAGGCUAAUAUCCUGCGUGUAUGACGGCACCGUCAUAAGAAUCACCGGCUACCUACGUUCCAGCAGCCGCGGUAAUACGUAGGGUGCGAGCGUUAAUCCGAAUUACUGGGCGUAAAGCGUGCGCAGGCGGUUGAUUAAGACAGGCGUGAAAGCCCCGGGCUUAAGCGGGGAACUGCGCUUGUGACUGGUCAGCUAGAGUACGGCAGAGGGGGGUGGAAUUCCACGUGUAGCAGUGAAAUGCGUAGAGAUGUGGAGGAACACCGAUGGCGAAGGCAGCCCCCUGGGCCGAUACUGACGCUCAUGCACGAAAGCGUGGGGAGCAAACAGG
rnacentral:rRNA from 1 species